UACGUAGGGGGCGAGCGUUGUUCGGAUUUAUUGGGCGUAAAGAGCGUGUAGGCGGCCAGGUAGGUCUGCUGUGAAAACCCGAGGCUCAACCUCGAGACGUCGGCGGAAACCAUCUGGCUAGAGUCCGGAAGAGGAGAGUGGAAUUCCUGGUGUAGCGGUGAAAUGCGCAGAUAUCAGGAAGAACACCCGUGGCGAAGGCGGCUCUCUGGGACGGUACUGACGCUGAGACGCGAAAGCGUGGGGAGCGAACAGG
rnacentral:rRNA from 1 species